UGACUGCCGGAAGGAUCAGCUCUGCAGUCCUGUGCACCCGGCAGGCACCCCAGGGAAGAACUGGGUCCCAGUGGAUGAGCACGGGUGGGGAGUGGCAAGGUCGGGGAGUGUCAUGUGGGGCCCAGCAUCAGGCGCCUGGGGCUCAGCUUCCUCUGCCGGGUUCUUCCCCUUCUGCCCCGCCCAUUGCCUGUCCCAGCGUCUGGGGGCCCAGCCCAAGGGCCUCCUUGUGUAGAGAUGCUCCCACUGCUGCUCUUGGCCCUGCUGUCCAGUGGGUCUCUGGCUCAGUUCCGGGGAUUCUCACUGCAAGUACAGAAGGAGGUGACUGUGCAGGAGGGCCUGUGUGUGCUUGUGCCCUGCACCUUCUCCUACCCCCCGAUUGGCUGGACAGAGGACACCCCCGCUCUUGGCUACUGGUUCCUCACCGGGACAGACUCGAGCAUCGGGAGGCCAGUGGCCACAAACAACCCGAAUCGAGCAGUGCAGACCGUGCCCAGGGACCGAUUCCAGCUCAUUGGCAAUCCCCAGAACCGGAGCUGUUCCCUGCUGAUCAGAGAGGCCCAGAUGGAAGACUCGGGAUGGUACUUCUUUCGGGUGGAGAGAGGCUAUUAUGCGCAAUACAGUUUUGUAAGAAACCAGUUCAAUCUGCAAGUGACAGACCUCACCCAGAAGCCAGAUGUCUACGUCCCAGAGAUCCUGGAGCCAGGACGUCCGGUGGCAGUCAUCUGUGUGUUUAACUGGAACUUUGAGGAAUGUCCAGCCCCUACUUUCUCCUGGCUGGGGGACGCCGUCUCCGCCCCAGGGCCCAGACCCAAGUCCUCCUACUUUUCAGUGCUUACUCUCACUCCGAGACCCCAGGACCAUAGCACCGACCUCACCUGCCGUGUGUACUUCUCCAGGAAGGGCGUGAGCACAGAGAGAACCGCCAGACUUAAUGUCGCCUAUGCCCCCAAAGACCUGGCUAUCAGCGUUUCCCGAGUCAACACGUCAGCCUUUCUCUUGCUGUUUCCAGCCCUGGAGCCCCAGGGCAACAGCCCACAUCUGGAGGCUGAGAAAGGCCAGUUCCUGCGACUGCUCUGUGCUGCUGACGGCCAGCCCCCAGCCACGCUGAGCUGGGCCCGGGAGGACCGGGUCCUCUCUAGGUCCCACCCUGGGGGCUCUGGAACCCUGGAGCUGGUGCUGCCGGCGGUAAAGCCUGGGGAUUCGGGCUGCUACACCUGCCAAGCAGAGAAUAGGCUUGGCUCCCGGAGCCGUACCCUGGACCUCUUUGUGCAGUAUGCCCCAGAGAACCUGAGAGUGAUGACCCUGUAUGCAAAUAGAACAGUCCUGGAAAACCUCGGGAAUGGCACAUCCCUCCCAGUCCUGGAGGGCCAAAGCUUGCGUCUGCUCUGUGUCACCCACAGCAACCCCCCAGCCCAGCUGAGCUGGGUCCUGGGGGGACAGACUCUGAGCCCUUCCCAGCCCGCAGACCCUGGGAUCCUGGAGCUCCCUCAGAUACAAAUGAAGCAUGAAGGAGACCUCACCUGCCAAGCCCAGAACGCACUGGGCUCCCAGCACAUCUCCCUGCAUCUCUCUGUGAUCUACACUCCGCGGCUGCUCAGCCCCUCCUGCUCCUGGGAGGUCGAGGGGCUGCGCUGUAACUGCUCCUCCCGAGCAAAGCCGGCCCCCACCCUGCGCUGGCGGCUGGGGGAGGAGCUGCUGGAGGGGAACCACAGCAACGCCUCCUGGACCGUCACCUCCAACUCUGCGGGGCCCUGGGCCAACAGCUCCCUGAGCCUCAGUGGGCCGCUGGGCUCUGGCCUCAGAGUCACCUGUGAGGCCUGGAAUGUGCACGGGAAACAGAGCGCCACAGUCCUGCUGCUCCCAGAUAAGGGUCUCGUCUCACAAGCAUUCUCCAAUGGAGCAUUUCUGGGAACUGGCGUCAUGACCUUUCUUUUCCUCUGCCUCCUCCUGGUCAUCAGGAAGACUCUGAGGAAGAAACAGACCCAGGCUGGGACUCCGGCCCAGGCGGGGACUCUGGCCCAGGCAGGGACUCUGGCCCAGGCUGGGACUCCGGCCCAGGCUGGGACUCCGGCCCAGGCUGGGACUCCGGCCCAGGCAGGGAUGCCGCCGAGGCCCAGGCCUGCACGGAGAAGCACAAUCCUGGACUAUAUCAACGUGUUCCCUAACCCUGGCCCCCUGGCUGGGAAUCGGAAAGCCACACCACGCAGUCCUUCCCAAGCCCCUCCUCCCGGUGCUCACUCCCUGGAAUUGAAGAAGAACCAGAAGGAGCUCCAUGUUGUUGCCCACACUUGUCCAGGGCCCAAAUCACUCACUCAAGCCUCGGAAUCGCAGAAUAACCAAGAGGAGCUCCAUUAUGCAACCCUCUACUUCUCAGGCCUCAGACCACGAGAGACCCAGGAGCCCAAGGAUACCCACUCAGAGUACACAGAUGUCAAGUUCCACUGAGGCUGUCUUGGGCUGCGGCAUGGCAGGGCUGGGACCCAGGUCAGGCAGAUUGGAGAGGAAGAGGAACAGAGGCAGAUGCCAAGAAUGAGUUCAAGAGCAGUCACAACGACUAGCUGUGUGACAAGACAGGAAGUCCUCAGAGUGAGGUCUUUCAGGGCCAGGACACCAGAUGGAGGUUGAGGGGAAGAUGCCUUCUCCAACCCAGGAAGAGCAAACGCAUGAGGGUCGUGGGAGUGGAAAUGCUUUCCAAGUGGAAUAAAAAAAAAAACUUCAGGGGCACCUGGGUGGCUCAGUCGUUAAGCGUCGUCUGCCUUUGGCUCAGGUCGUGAUCCCCCUGGAAUCACGCCUGCAUAGGGCUGCCUGCUCAGUUGGGGGGAGCCUGCUUUUCCCUCUCCCACUCCCCCUGCUUGUGUUCCCUCUCUCGCUGUGUCUCUCUCUGUCAAGUAAUAAAUAAAAUCUUAAACAACAACAACAACAACAACAAAACACUUCAGAAUGUACUCUGAAUCAACGGGCUGGUGAAGAGAGAAAACGGGUCUGUUUCUCAGAACAGACGCGUUCCUUCCCUUCUUCCUUCCCCAGAGAUCAGAAUUCUAUAUGCUUCUCCGAAAGCUCUCUUGGGGCAUGGUUACCACUUAUCAGGCAGAAAACUGAGGAGCCCAGAAUAGAUGUUGGACUUUGCAUUAAAAAAAUCUUUUUUUUUUUUUUUUUUUUUUUUAAAGUAGGCUGCAGCAGGAUGUGGGGCUUGAACUCAUGACCCUUAGAUGGAGACCUGAGCUGGGACCAAGAGUCUGACACUUAACCCACUAAGCCAUCCAGGCUCCUCUUCCCAACCCCCUCAAAAAGUUUUAAAUUACACACUUGGAAGACAGGGAGAGCUGGAAAACAAAAAAAAAAUUACAGAUAAAGCAGAAGAGGUUAUGCGUAAUGCAGAAAAAUAGGUACGGAGGUCAAAGAGAGUUUUCUCAGGGAACUCGCCCUGGUUAAGUUGCCAUGUAAUAAAUAAUAAGAGAAAGGGAAGGGGAAGGAAGGAGAAAAUAACAUUUUUGAGCAUCUACCAUGUAUCACACUGCGAGCCAGUUAUAAACAAUUACCUCCUUCGGUAACAGCUGGUGUGCAGUAAAGAGCAUCCCUGUUGUGGAGAAGUCAGACUCAGAGAGGUGAACUAACUUCUCUAAAGCCACACAGGAGAAAUCUGUGGAAGGAAGAGUGCCACCUACCUCAGCAAAGGCUGUCUGGCUCUUAAUCCCAGUUUUCCCCACUGCUUCGCAAUCCCUUCUGAAGGGGGUGCUCUUGAGUGACAAGGACUCGGACCCCCAGGCGGUAAUCCAGGGCACUUGGAGGGACUGAGGCAUGAAAGGCCCAUCUCUGACCAAAUUUAUAGUGAACGGGGGUAAGAGCUAAAGAGCAGAGGAAAGUUUAGAAGGGAAGGCAUAUGAUUUCAAAAGGCUACAACUCUGGGGAGGGAAGAAGCUGGUGGUGGAUAUGUUUUCCAAGCCUGGGAGGGGUGCUGGGCUGGGGUCCUGAGGCUGUGUGUCCCAAGGGAGAAAAUAACAGGCUGUUCAGAGAUAACCCCACUUCAGCUAAACCCUCUCAAAUUCCACACCUAUAUCUGUGGAAAUGUUUGUACCGUUGACUGACAUAUAUACGCUUACCUCACUUUGCUUACCUCACUUUGUGCUUUGUUUAAUGCUUAACCCACUCAAUACAGAAACUCUUUUUUUUUUUUUAAGAUUUUAUUUAUUUAUUUGACGCAGAGAGAGUUAGCAAGAGAGGUAAUACAAGCAGGAGGAGUAGGAGAGGGAGAAGCAGGCUUCCUGCUUAGCAGGGAGCCCAAUGUGGGGCUUGAUCCCAGGACCCUGGGAUCAUGACCUGAGCUGAAGGCAGACGCCCAACUGACUGAGCCACUCAGGCGCCCCGAAACUCUUUUUUUUUUUUAAAAAAGAUUUUACUUAUUUAUUUGACAAAGAGAGAGAGUGUGUGUGUGUGUGUGUGUGUGUGUACACAAGCAGGCAGAGCAGCAGAGGGAGAAGGAGAAGCAGGCUCCCCGCUGGCGAGAGAGCCCCACGUGGGGCUCCAUGCCAGGACCCUGGGAUCAUGACCCAAGCCGAAGGCAGAUGCCUAGCGAUAGAGCUACCCAGGUAUCCCAAGAUUUCCUUAUCUAAUUCUGUUCAUCUUUUUAAGGAUGAACAUCCUUCUUCCCUUCUUCCCAUCCCCACCACCAUACUCUUAGGAAGACGAAACAAAAAAACAAACAAAGAAAUCAUCAACAGUGACCAGCUGCAUGGACAUAGUCUGAACACAGCUUCCUCCCAAGAUGAGGUGACAGGCUCUCCUCUCUUUAUAUCUGAAAUGAACAUGAACAGGGCUCAUGUUCAAUCACAGCUUUUUUCCUCAUUCGAGCCACUAAAACGCAGGUUCUGACUUUUCUCUAAUAUAAAUAUUACAAAGAAGUUAGCAGGUAAUAAUGCUUAUGACUAGGGUCAGAUGUGAAAACUGAAGAACAGCUCCUAACUUUCUGCCUUUUAUUAGUCACAGCUUAUAAAACUUCCCUCUUGUCAAUGAAAUGGCCUGAGCUUUGUGGUAUGAAGGAUCUCCUGGUGACAGAAUCACUCUGGUUCCCAGAAGAUCACUACAUAGCAAAUAACGAAGAAGAAGGAGGAGGAGAAGAAGAAGAAGGAGAAAGAAGAAAGAAAGAAAGAAAGAAAGAAAGAAAGAAAGAAAGAAAGAAAGAAAGAAAGAGAGAGGGAGGAAGGGAGGGAGGAAGGAGGGGGGAAAGGGGCACCUGGGUGGCUCAGGCGGUUAUGGAUCUUCCUUUGGCUCAGGUCAUGAUCCCAGGGUCCUGGGAUCUAGUCUGGCAUUAGGCUCCCUGUUCAACCACAGGGCUGCUUCUCCUUCUCCCUCUCCCCCACCUACCCUACUCAUGCUCUCUCUCUCUC